rnacentral:misc_RNA from 1 species
UCCGAGUUUCUCUCGGCAGUCGGGUCUGAGUGAUACAACAGACCCCGAGGGUUGCGCUCGUUGCGGGACUUAACCCAACAUCUCACGACACGAGCUGACGACAGCCGUGCAACACCUGUGCAAGCUCCCUUGCGGGUCGGUUCCCUUUCGGGUCCCUACCACUUGCAUGUCAAGUCUGGGUAAGGUUCUUCGCGUACCAUCGAAUUGAACCGCACGCUCCGCUGCUUGUGCGGGCCCCCGUCAAUUCCUUUGAGUUUUAACCUUGCGGUCGUACUCCCCAGGCGGGGCACUUAAUGCGUUAGCUUCGGCACUGCCGGGGUCGAUACCGACAACACCUAGUGCCCAACGUUUACGGCAUGGACUAC